CUCAAAACUCAUGUUGUAUUUUAUGUGGUUGCCAUAUUUACAUACUGGUACGCUGGAUCCAAUAAGGAUUUGUAAUAAUCCUAUAAGGAUAUGAAUGAAUAACACAGAGCUUCAAAUGGCACAUAAAAAAACACAAUGAACAAACGUAAAUAACUUUGUGAAUUUUUAAUGAGUACACAGUAUACUUGCAGUGGUUCAAAGAGACCGUUCACAAUUAUUGAGCCGGCCUUGGGCCAUCUCUGGGCCGCCUCAAAUUUCCGUUCACAGUUGAGGUUUUAGGGGGCCCAAGUGCGUUUACAUAUGUGUCUGAAAAGGAAGCCUAAAUUGUGGCGAAGUGCUUGUCGGGAAUGUAAACACCGCAUUCCCGGAAGUCAACAUAAGAGAUUCAGCUGGGAAAUUCACAAACCUGAGGUACCCACUACAGAAGGAACAGCACUAUCAGUUGUCACAGAAUUAACAGCGGCAUCCACAACAGCUAAGACAACCAUUGCAGAAGUUAUAACAGCAUACAUCACUGCAUCCACAACUGGGAAGACUUGACUCAUGUGGAAAAUAAUAUAAACGUAGACCAAACUCUCUCUAGAUUUGUCUAGAUUGUAAACACAGUAUAAUCGUAAACCUGGUCACAAAAGCAAAGUUUGUGGGG